ACAGCAGCCGCCGCGGUAAUACGGAGGGGGCUAGCGUUGUUCGGAAUUACUGGGCGUAAAGCGCACGUAGGCGGCUUGGUAAGUUAGAGGUGAAAGCCCGGAGCUCAACUCCGGAAUUGCCUUUAAGACUGCCGAGCUAGCAGGUGAGAGAGGUAAGUGGAAUUCCGAGUGUAGAGGUGAAAUUCGUAGAUGUUCGGAAGAACACCAGUGGCGAAGGCGGCCCACUGGACGUGUAUUGACGCUGAGGUGCGAAAGCGUGGGGAGCAAACAGGAUUAGAUACCCCAGUAGUCCCUGUCUCUUAUAC
rnacentral:rRNA from 1 species